AUUGAACGCUGGCGGCAUGCCUUACACAUGCAAGUCGAACGGUAACAGGUCUUCGGAUGCUGACGAGUGGCGAACGGGUGAGUAAUCCAUCGGAACGUGCCUAGUAGUGGGGGAUAACUACUCGAAAGAGUGGCUAAUACCGCAUGAGAUCUACGGAUGCACGCAGGGGAACGCCCGACCUUGUGCUACUAGAGCGGCAGAUGGCAGAUUAGGUAGUUGGUGGGAUAAAAGCUUACCAAGCCGACGAUCUGUAGCUGGUCUGAGAGGACGAUCAGCCACACUGGGACUGAGACACGGCCCAGACUCCUACGGGAGGCAGCAGUGGGGAAUUUUGGACAAUGGGCGCAAGCCUGAUCCAGCAAUGCCGCGUGCAGGAUGAAGGCCUUCGGGUUGUAAACUGCUUUUGUACGGAACGAAAAGCCCUGGGUUAAUACCCUGGGGUCAUGACGGUACCGUAAGAAUAAGCACCGGCUAACUACGUGCCAGCCGCCGCCGUAACAC
rnacentral:rRNA from 1 species